UAUAGUUUAUUUGAUGGUCAAUUGUUAUUUGGAUAACUGUGGUAAUUCUAGAGCUAAUACAUGCACAAAGACACGACUUCAGGGAAGUGUCGUAUUUAUUAGAUACAGAACCAAUCGGUUUCGGCCGUUUUUGGAUGAUUCAUAAUAAAUGAACGGAGCGCAUGGCUCGUGCCGGCGCUGUAUCAUUCAAGUUUCUGACCUAUCAGCUUUCGACGGUAGGGUAUUGGCCUACCGUGGCAUUGACGGGUAACGGAGAAUUAGGGUUCGAUUCCGGAGAGGGAGCCCGAGAAACAGCUACCACA
rnacentral:rRNA from 1 species